CUUCACUGGCCCUGACUGCCCGGCCGGCGGGCCGGCCUUCCUCGGCUCUCCCAGGCGCGGCGGGCGCUGUGUGGACCCCGUCCUCCUGGCUGGACCAUGGUGAACACCCGGAAGAGCUCUCUGCGUCUUCUCGGGUCCAAGUCGCCUGGGCCUGGGCCUGGGCCUGGGGCCGGAGCAGAGCCUGGGGCGACCGGAGGCAGCAGCCAUUUCAUCUCCUCUCGGACCCGCUCCUCCAAGACCCGCGCUGCCAGCUGCCCCGGCGCCAAGGCCGGGGGAAGCGGUGGUGCCGGCGUCGCUCUGGAAGAGGCCCGGAAAGCUGAAGUUGAUGGUAGUUUAAGUGAUAGCCACGUGUCUCCUCCAGCCAAACGCACUUUGAAACAACCUGAUUCUGUUUGCAAAGACAAAUCAAAAUCACGAAGUACUGGUCAGAGAGAGGAAUGGAAUAUAUCAACUGGACAGGCCAGGUUAACUUCUCAGCCUGGUGCUACAUUACCAAACGGACAUAGUAGCUUAUCCCUUCGAAGCCAUCCCCUUCGAGGGGAAAAGAAGGGAGAUGGGGACCUUUCUUGUAUAAAUGGUGACAUGGAAGUCAGAAAAAGUUGUCGUUCCAGGAAAAACAGAUUCGAAAGCGUGAACCAGAGUUUGUUAUUUGAUCAACUAGUAAAUAGUACUGCUGAAGCUGUACUACAGGAAAUGGACAACAUUAACAUCAGACGGAAUCGUCGGUCAGGAGAAGUAGAACGACUUAGAAUGUGGACAGAUACAGAAUUUGAAAACAUGGAUAUGUAUUCAAGAGUGAAAAGGCGAAGAAAGUCACUGAGAAGAAAUAGUUAUGGGAUACAAAAUCAUCAUGAAGUGUCUACUGAGGGCGAAGAAGAAGAAUCUCAAGAGGAGGAUGGAGACAUAGAAGUUGAGGAGGCAGAAGGGGAAGAAAAUGAUAGACCAUACAAUUUGAGACAAAGAAAAACAGUGGAUAGAUACCAAGCACCUCCAAUAGUCCCAGCUCAUCAAAAAAAGAGAGAAAACACGCUGUUUGAUAUUCAUAGAUCUCCAGCAAGAAGAAGCCAUAUCAGGAGAAAGAAGCACGCCAUUCAUAGUAGUGACACAACUUCUUCUGAUGAAGAACGCUUUGAAAGAAGGAAAUCAAAGAGCAUGGCGAGAGCAAGAAACAGAUGUUUGCCUAUGAACUUCAGAGCAGAAGAUUUAGCUAGUGGUAUUCUCCGAGAACGUGUCAAAGUGGGUGCAAGCUUGGCUGAUGUUGAUCCAAUGAACAUUGAUAAAUCAGUGCGGUUUGAUAGUAUAGGUGGAUUGAGCCAUCAUAUUCAUGCACUGAAAGAAAUGGUAGUAUUCCCACUUCUAUAUCCAGAAAUCUUUGAGAAAUUUAAGAUUCAGCCUCCAAGGGGCUGUUUGUUUUAUGGCCCUCCUGGCACAGGUAAAACCUUGGUUGCCAGAGCAUUAGCUAAUGAGUGCAGUCAGGGAGACAAAAAGGUGGCUUUUUUUAUGCGAAAAGGAGCAGACUGUCUGAGCAAGUGGGUUGGUGAAUCUGAACGGCAACUUAGGCUUCUUUUUGAUCAGGCAUAUUUGAUGAGACCUUCUAUAAUAUUUUUUGAUGAAAUAGAUGGAUUAGCUCCAGUUCGCUCCAGCAGACAAGAUCAGAUCCAUAGCUCUAUAGUAUCAACCCUCCUUGCUCUUAUGGAUGGAUUAGAUAACAGGGGUGAAAUUGUUGUUAUUGGUGCUACAAACAGACUUGAUUCUAUAGAUCCUGCUCUCAGGAGACCGGGUCGUUUUGACCGAGAAUUCCUUUUCAACCUGCCUGAUCAAAAGGCAAGAAAACACAUUUUACAGAUCCAUACCAGGGAUUGGAAUCCAAAAUUAUCAGAUGCUUUUUUAGGUGAAUUGGCCGAAAAAUGUGUUGGCUAUUGUGGAGCUGAUAUCAAGGCCCUGUGCACUGAAGCUGCCCUCAUUGCCCUGCGGAGGCGUUAUCCCCAGAUCUAUGCUAGCAGUCAUAAACUGCAGCUAGAUGUUUCCUCAAUAGUGCUCAAUGCCCAAGAUUUUUACCAUGCAAUGCAGAAUAUUGUGCCUGCUUCUCAACGUGCUGUCAUGUCUUCGGGACACGCACUAUCCCCCAUCAUAAAGCCGCUACUGGAAAGAAGCUUCAACAACAUCCUAGCAGUCUUGCAAAAAGUGUUUCCUCAUGCUGAAAUUAGCCAGAGUGACAAGAAAGAAGAUAUAGAAACUCUGAUUUUAGAUGAUAGUGAAGAUGAGAAUGCUUUAUCAAUUUUUGAGACCAGUUGUCACUCAGGAUCACCAAAGAAACAGUCAUCAGCUGCUGCUAUACAUAAACCCUACCUUCAUUUUACAAUGUCACCAUAUCAUCAGCCAACCUCUUACAGGCCAAGAUUAUUGCUGUCUGGAGAAAGAGGCUCAGGUCAAACUUCUCACCUUGCUCCAGCACUUUUGCACACUCUAGAAAAAUUCUCUGUGCACAGACUAGAUCUCCCAGCACUUUAUUCAGUUAGUGCCAAAACACCUGAAGAAUCAUGUGCACAGAUUUUUCGUGAAGCUCGAAGAACAGUACCUAGUAUUGUUUACAUGCCUCACAUUGGUGACUGGUGGGAAGCUGUCAGUGAAACUGUGAGAGCAACUUUUCUGACAUUGCUACAAGAUAUACCAUCAUUUUCACCUAUAUUUUUAUUGUCUACCUCUGAAACCAUGUACAGUGAACUGCCUGAAGAGGUUAAAUGUAUCUUUAGAAUACAGUAUGAAGAGGUCUUGUAUAUUCAAAGGCCUAUUGAAGAAGACAGAAGAAAAUUUUUCCAAGAAUUGAUUCUCAAUCAGGCAUCAAUGGCUCCACCACGAAGGAAACACACUGGUCUUUGUGCUAUGGAAGUGCUUCCUCUUGCACUACCUUCUCCACCUCGUCAGUUAUCAGAAUCAGAAAAAAACCGGAUGGAGGACCAGGAGGAAAAUACUUUAAGAGAGCUGCGGUUGUUUCUCAGGGAUGUAACCAAGAGGCUGGCGACGGAUAAACGUUUUAACAUCUUCAGCAAACCGGUGGAUAUUGAAGAGGUUUCAGAUUAUCUUGAAGUAAUCAAGGAACCAAUGGAUUUAUCGACAGUAAUAACUAAAAUUGAUAAGCAUAAUUACCUGACUGCUAAGGAUUUUCUGAAAGAUAUUGACCUCAUCUGUAGCAAUGCUUUAGAGUACAAUCCAGAUAAGGACCCAGGAGAUAAAAUAAUUAGACACAGGGCUUGUACCCUGAAGGACACUGCACAUGCCAUCAUUGCAGCUGAAUUGGAUCCAGAAUUUAAUAAACUCUGUGAAGAAAUAAAAGAAGCAAGAAUAAAAAGAGGCUUAUCGGUAACAGCAGAACAAAUAAAUCCUCAUGGCACUGGAGCUCGGAAGACAGAAACUAGAGUUGAAGAGGCAUUUCGGCACAAACAAAGAAAUCCAUUGGAUGUCUGGCACAACUCUGCAAAUAAAUGUGCAUGUGAGUGUUUGAGGAGACCCUGUUAUCCAGUAGUGGGGACACCUGAGAAGGAUGCAGAUUUGUUAGGAACUGGGGACACAAACCAGGUGCUGUUGUUUCCCCACACAUCUCAGCUCUUCUCUGUUCAGAGGAGAAGAGCUUGUGGGGUCGGAUGCUGAAUGAGGAACAUGCUUCUCUAACCGUAUUUGCUCUUUUCUGUUUAUAUUCAGUACUUGCGGGUGUUGAACUAGGUUUGAAUAUUUUCAGUUUUAAACUUUGGAUUUGGGGUAGAGAUGUGGAGCCAACAGACUUUUCAUCCACCCCUGCCUCCAGUCCUAACCCUUGCUCUAUAAUGUACCAGAUAUUCUCUUUAUGGUGGAGAGUAGAAACUUUGACUUAAGGGAGUGGCUAACAGUAGGAGGUUCAUUUUUCUGAGAGAGUAUCUUGCCCUCACUUUGAAAAAUGUGUACAGCCCUUUCAAUCUAUUUUUGUUUAAGUGAGAUACACUUAGGGAAAAUUUAGUACUAGUUCUAAGUUUUCUUCACUUUUCCUCAUUCAUGGUGAUAUAUAAGAUUUCCAGAAGACAGAUGUUAAUGAACACAGCAUCUUCCUAAUACAGUCCAUAUGUUUCACUGAGGUUAGCCAUACUGUUCUGGUAUAAAAGUGGCAAUACUGUUGAAACUGUCAGUAAAGCUGGCCAUAAUAUGUUCGUUCACCAGUGGCAUUGACUUCGAAUGGAUGAAACAUACUCAUUGUUUUAGCUUUUGUCUUUGUGAUAAGUGGCAUUCAUAUGUGAGAAAUUUUGAAGGAUUUAGUAGUAUAUUUGGUUCCAUGAAACUGAUUAAAGCUAUUUGGUGUAGUUGUAUCUUGGAUCGUCAUCUGGAUUAUAGAACAUAGCACUCUAAGUUAAACUUUGAAGUCCUGUACAUUCUCUAUAUCUGAUGCAAAUAUUUACUAACUAAAACCCAUUGAAAAUUGGCUUUAAGCAGUUUAAGUUCCUUUAAACAUUAAAAUGUUAUUUUAAUCUACAAAUGUGAGUUUUGUUUUCUCUUACCAGUAGAUGGCAUAUGUGACUCAUCAUUUGUCUGUUUUUACAUUAAGUUACUUGAAUUAUAGAUCUAAAUAUCCCUAAGGGAGAGUUGCUUUCCUGAGGUCUUAGUUUUGGAAACAAGCUCAGAGAGGCUAUAAAAAUUGACUGUAAAGAUUGUGCCCCUGUGUUGGUUUUUUCACACAAAGUGUCCCGUGAAAGGAAGUGGUAUGUUAAAGAUUAGUUCCAUAAGUGUAUAUACUACCAUAUGCCAGGUGCUGUGGAGCUACAGCAGCGCCUAACACAAAAUUCCCUAUUGCUGUGGAGCUUAUAUGAUCAAGUUCUCUUAUUUCGCCAAAAUCAUACUAACCACUAGAAAUAAUUCUAUAAGGAGGGGAAAAAUAUUUCUAGUUUGACAUCCUCCCAAGUGAGAACAUUUUUUUGUUGUUGUUAGCUGGGAUGAAAGUGUUAGAAAUAAACUUGCUGCAGUAGGCCUUCUACAGCCUUUGCUUAGUGUACUACAGAUCAGACAAUUGAGCUGGCUCUUGAUUGAGCAGAGCUGAGCUGCUACUUGUUCUAGAGUUCUGUAGCUUAGUGAGGAAGGGAAAGGGGAACCUCUUGUACUUUUGGUUGCACAGUUGGAGAAUAAGUGAGGUCACACUGUCAGGAGUGACUUGUCAGGUAGUAAAAACCUAACAGCUCCACCUUUUAGAGAAAGAACAAGGUGAAUUUUUUUCCCCAUUUUUGACGUGUACUGGAUUAGUUUUUCAUAUAGUUAAUGGAAUGCUUACAAAUGCCCAUCACUUUAGCUUAUGUACAGCUUUUAACAGUAAACUAAUAAAUUUCUUCUCCAAUUACCCUGUAACUGUAAAUUAUAAAAAUAGAAAUUAGUAGGGGGAAAAGAAAUGGUGAGAUGAUUCAAAUGAUAUGGUUUUGAAGGCAAAAUAUAGUUUGAACCAAGUGACUAAAUAACUUGAAUUUUGGAAAUAAUUUCAGAAAUCUUUAGUAGAUUUAUUCUUAGAUAAGAAAGAAGAGUAAUGUUUAUAACAACAUUUGUCCAUUUCCUGUGAAUACCUUGGUGUCUUUACAUACAGAGAAUCAAUAAGGAUUAAAGAUGAAAGGAUGAAAAAGUAUGUAAACGCAUAUUUGGGGAAUUAAAGAUUCCUGAGCCUAUUGUUAGCUGGAAGUACUCAUAAAGCUCAUGAUGGUUUCUAGCAUCUAAAGAUAAAUACAGUAUUUUCAAUUUUUGUGGGUCUUCCUUUUCAUAUAACUGACCAAAUAUUUAUUUUCAGUGUUUUGUUAAUGUUGUUGCUACCUUGAUAGCAGAGGGCUUAAUUUUUUCCCCAUAUUUUAAAAUAACAACUGUGUAACCAAUUGAUGCUAUUUGAUGAACCUAUUUAUAGUAGAGGAGACUAACAGUUGGUUAACCAGAUUGUCCUCUGUAACUAUCAUAGGGUUUCUAUCCAUGACUAUACUUAACUGUGGGGAUUCCUUCUUCGGGAAGGAGAUGUAAUAGAUAAUUCUUUGUGGGAUACCUGUAACUAUUCUACCUUGAUAUACUGGAGCAUGUGUUCAUUUUCUUUCAUGGUUUAGGAGCUUUUGGGUGAUGCUGGCAAAGCAUUUACCUUCCCGGUGGAAAUCCAGGGCUAUGGCCCCAAACUUUCUAGGCAGACUGGUAAUGUGGUCAUUUCUGAAAUGUACAUAAUAGAUGCAUGGUCCUUGGAUGUUAGGAAUUAGGAAUAGUUGUGAAUUUAAGAUAAUAGAAAAUAAUUAAUGCUGGGUAAACUCCUACAGGAAAUAAACUUUUAAAAAUUUCAUUCUUCAGGAAAAAAAAAAACUUCAUUCUUCAGAGUUCAUCUCUGACUUCAUAUUCAUUCUACUUUUCGAGUUCGGAGAAAAUCGAGGCGGCGAUCACAGUGGGGUAAAGGAAUUAUUAAGAAAAGGAAAGUCAAUAAUUUAAAAAAAGAUGAAGAGGACACCAAAUUUGCAGACUAUGAGAACCAUACAGAGGACAGGAAGUUGUUAGAGAA